rnacentral:rRNA from 1 species
UUAAGCGACUAAGCGUACACGGUGGAUGCCCUGGCAGUCAGAGGCGAUGAAGGACGUGCUAAUCUGCGAAAAGCGUCGGUAAGGUGAUAUGAACCGUUAUAACCGGCGAUGUCCGAAUGGGGAAACCCAGUGCAAUUCGUUGCACUAUCGUUAACUGAAUACAUAGGUUAACGAGGCGAACCGGGGGAACUGAAACAUCUAAGUACCCCGAGGAAAAGAAAUCAACCGAGAUUCCCCCAGUAGCGGCGAGCGAACGGGGAGCAGCCCAGAGUCUGAAUCAGCUUGUGUGUUAGUGGAACGGUCUGGAAAGUCCGACGGUACAGGGUGAUAGUCCCGUACACCAAAAUGCACAGGCUGUGAACUCGAAGAGUAGGGCGGGACACGUGGUAUCCUGUCUGAAUAUGGGGGGACCAUCCUCCAAGGCUAAAUACUCCUGACUGACCGAUAGUGAACCAGUACCGUGAGGGAAAGGCGAAAAGAACCCCGGCGAGGGGAGUGAAAAAGAACCUGAAACCGUGUACGUACAAGCAGUGGGAGCACCUUCGGGUGUGACUGCGUACCUUUUGUAUAAUGGGUCAGCGACUUAUAUUCUGUAGCAAGGUUAACCGUAUAGGGGAGCCGCAGGGAAACCGAGUCUUAACUGGGCGUUAAGUUGCAGGGUAUAGACCCGAAACCCGGUGAUCUAGCCAUGGGCAGGUUGAAGGUUGGGUAACACUAACUGGAGGACCGAACCGACUAAUGUUGAAAAAUUAGCGGAUGACUUGUGGCUGGGGGUGAAAGGCCAAUCAAACCGGGAGAUAGCUGGUUCUCCCCGAAAGCUAUUUAGGUAGCGCCUCGUGAAUUCAUCUUCGGGGGUAGAGCACUGUUUCGGCUAGGGGGUCAUCCCGACUUACCAACCCGAUGCAAACUACGAAUACCGAAGAAUGUUAUCACGGGAGACACACGGCGGGUGCUAACGUCCGUCGUGAAGAGGGAAACAACCCAGACCGCCAGCUAAGGUCCCAAAGUCAUGGUUAAGUGGGAAACGAUGUGGGAAGGCACAGACAGCCAGGAUGUUGGCUUAGAAGCAGCCAUCAUUUAAAGAAAGCGUAAUAGCUCACUGGUCGAGUCGGCCUGCGCGGAAGAUGUAACGGGGCUAAACCAUGCACCGAAGCUGCGGCAGCGACACUAUGUGUUGUUGGGUAGGGGAGCGUUCUGUAAGCCUGCGAAGGUGUGCUGUGAGGCAUGCUGGAGGUAUCAGAAGUGCGAAUGCUGACAUAAGUAACGAUAAAGCGGGUGAAAAGCCCGCUCGCCGGAAGACCAAGGGUUCCUGUCCAACGUUAAUCGGGGCAGGGUGAGUCGACCCCUAAGGCGAGGCCGAAAGGCGUAGUCGAUGGGAAACAGGUUAAUAUUCCUGUACUUGGUGUUACUGCGAAGGGGGGACGGAGAAGGCUAUGUUAGCCGGGCGACGGUUGUCCCGGUUUAAGCAUGUAGGCUGGUUGUCCAGGCAAAUCCGGAUAAUCAAGGCUGAGGUGUGAUGACGAGGCACUACGGUGCUGAAGUAACAAAUGCCCUGCUUCCAGGAAAAGCCUCUAAGCAUCAGGUAACAUCAAAUCGUACCCCAAACCGACACAGGUGGUCAGGUAGAGAAUACCAAGGCGCUUGAGAGAACUCGGGUGAAGGAACUAGGCAAAAUGGUGCCGUAACUUCGGGAGAAGGCACGCUGGUGUGUAGGUGAAGUCCCUGCGGAUGGAGCUGAGACCAGUCGAAGAUACCAGCUGGCUGCAACUGUUUAUUAAAAACACAGCACUGUGCAAACACGAAAGUGGACGUAUACGGUGUGACGCCUGCCCGGUGCCGGAAGGUUAAUUGAUGGGGUUAUCCGUAAGGAGAAGCUCUUGAUCGAAGCCCCGGUAAACGGCGGCCGUAACUAUAACGGUCCUAAGGUAGCGAAAUUCCUUGUCGGGUAAGUUCCGACCUGCACGAAUGGCGUAAUGAUGGCCAGGCUGUCUCCACCCGAGACUCAGUGAAAUUGAACUCGCUGUGAAGAUGCAGUGUACCCGCGGCAAGACGGAAAGACCCCGUGAACCUUUACUAUAGCUUGACACUGAACAUUGAGCCUUGAUGUGUAGGAUAGGUGGGAGGCUUUGAAGCGUGGACGCCAGUCUGCGUGGAGCCAACCUUGAAAUACCACCCUUUAAUGUUUGAUGUUCUAACGUUGGCCCCUUACCGGGGUUGCGGACAGUGUCUGGUGGGUAGUUUGACUGGGGCGGUCUCCUCCCAAAGCGUAACGGAGGAGCACGAAGGUUAGCUAAUCCUGGUCGGACAUCAGGAGGUUAGUGCAAUGGCAUAAGCUAGCUUGACUGCGAGCGUGACGGCGCGAGCAGGUGCGAAAGCAGGUCAUAGUGAUCCGGUGGUUCUGAAUGGAAGGGCCAUCGCUCAACGGAUAAAAGGUACUCCGGGGAUAACAGGCUGAUACCGCCCAAGAGUUCAUAUCGACGGCGGUGUUUGGCACCUCGAUGUCGGCUCAUCACAUCCUGGGGCUGAAGUAGGUCCCAAGGGUAUGGCUGUUCGCCAUUUAAAGUGGUACGCGAGCUGGGUUUAGAACGUCGUGAGACAGUUCGGUCCCUAUCUGCCGUGGGCGCUGGAGAAUUGAGGGGGGCUGCUCCUAGUACGAGAGGACCGGAGUGGACGCAUCACUGGUGUUCGGGUUGUCAUGCCAAUGGCACUGCCCGGUAGCUAAAUGCGGAAGAGAUAAGUGCUGAAAGCAUCUAAGCACGAAACUUGCCCCGAGAUGAGUUCUCCCUGAGACUUUAAGUCUCCUGAAGGAACGUU